rnacentral:rRNA from 1 species
UACGGAGGGGGUUAGCGUUACUCGGAUUCACUGGGCGUAAAGGGUGCGUAGGCCGAUAGAUGUGUCAGGUGUGAAAUCUCGGGGCUUAACCUCGAAACUGCGCCUGAAACUGUCUAUCUAGAGUAUUGGAGAGGUAAGCGGAAUUUCUGGUGUAGCGGUGAAAUGCGUAGAUAUCAGAAGGAACACCAAUGGCGAAGGCAGCUUACUGGACAAUAACUGACGCUGAGGCACGAAAGCGUGGGUAGCGAAAGGG